rnacentral:rRNA from 1 species
CUCUGUGACUCCUACGGGAGGCAGCAGUGAGGAAUAUUGCACAAUGGGCGCAAGCCUGAUGCUGCCAUGCCGCGUGUGUGAAGAAGGCCUUCGGGUUGUAAAGCACUUUCAGUUGUGAGGAAGGUGGUGUCGUUAAUAGCGGCAUCAUUUGACGUUAGCAACAGAAGAAGCACCGGCUAACUCCGUGCCAGCAGCCGCGGUAAUACGGAGGGUGCGAGCGUUAAUCGGAAUUACUGGGCGUAAAGCGCAUGCAGGUGGUUUGUUAAGUCAGAUGUGAAAGCCCGGGGCUCAACCUCGGAACUGCAUUUGAAACUGGCAGACUAGAGUACUGUAGAGGGGGUAGAAUUUCAGGUGUAGCGGUGAAAUGCGUAGAGAUCUGAAGGAAUACCGGUGGCGAAGGCGGCCCCCUGGACAGAUACUGACACUCAGAUGCGAAAGCGUGGGGAGCAAACAGGAUUAGAUACCCUUGUAG